rnacentral:rRNA from 1 species
AUAGCGUAUAUUAAAGUUGUUGCAGUUAAAAAGCUCGUAGUUGAACUUUGGGUCUGGGCGACUGGUCUCCCUUACUGGGUGCACUGAGAACCCGGACCUUUCCUUCUGGCAAACCUCAUGCCCUUUAUUGGGUGUGUUGGGGAACCAGGACUUUUACUUUGAAAAAAUUAGAGUGUUCAAAGCAGGCCUUUGCCCGAAUACAUUAGCAUGGAAUAAUAAAAUAGGACGUGCGGUUCUAUUUUGUUGGUUUCUAGAGCCGCCGUAAUGAUUAAUAGGGAUAGUCGGGGGCAUCCGUAUUCAAUUGUCAGAGGUGAAAUUCUUGGAUUUAUUCAAGACGAACUACUG